ACCAUCAGGGCGUUGUGUGAUCGUGGGGAACACCGUCCUAUUGUUCUGCAGAAAAGAAGCCUGCAAAGUCCAGUGUGUUGGUAGAACAUCGUAAGGUAAAGUGAUCGUUUGUAUUUAGAAUAUAGUUGAGUAUUUAGUUUAAAUGGAGCGCGAUUUUCCUCUUGUUAAGGUAGCCUUUUGUUUUGGUGAAAGUUUAUUUAUUUUUCUUUUGUCGUGUUGCUUGUCGAAGUUUAUUUUUACUUCUCAGCAAUUUAAAAGAGGCCCGCGGUGUUCCGCGCUGUGCGGUUGUGCGCCGUCACAACAGCAGGGUGUUUAGUUUUAUGCUUUACAACCAGGAGGUGUAUUGGUUAUUCACGCGCUGCAGAGACAGUGAAUAAUAACCAGAAAGAACAGAUUUAUUAGACUGGAAGUGCAAGACAUUGUUUAUUGUAAUACAGAUUCAAGACACAUUGCAUAUGGUUUACACAGGAAAAGUGGACACUUGUUUUUAGUUGGGACACAAUUUGCUUCUGUGGACAACCAGGAGUUGGCUGCAGGGGUUCCUUCCCCACAGCCCGGAUAUAACUUGUUCUAUCUUUGUUCACUUCUCUGGACGUCUGGGGUCAUCUCAAUUGUGUUCCUGGGCUUCUUCUUUAAAGGGGAUCCAUCCUGCGUUUACUUGUGUUACAGGACUACUCCAGCAGAGGGAGCCUGUCUUGGACUUACCUGUGUUACAGGUCUACUCCAGCAGAGGGAGUCUGUUGUAUACUUACCUGUGUUACAGAGUUACUCCAGCAAGGGGAGCCAGCUCUGUGUUCAUCUGUGUUAUAGGACUACUCCAGCAGAAGGAGUCCAUCCUGUACUUACCUGUGAUCCAGGACAGCUCUAAGGAAGAGAGCUGGCCCUGUUCUUACCUGUGGACUGACUCACUUCGGCGGAAGGAAUCUCGCUCCAUGGAAAAACGUGUGUCGAGACCGUCAGCUCGCUGUUCAGCAUUGCUGACUGAAUACCUCCUGAUCAAAAACAGAGGAGGAUUCGCCUCAUCAUGUUGGUACCAAUAAAGAUCGUAGGUGGAAUAACUUGUCGUGUAUUUACAAGUAAUAUGGACAUCUCCUCCUUCCUGAACUUGUUUUUCAGACUCUUCCAUUGUUAGUGUAUUUCCAAGGACAAAAUCUUAAAUAAAUAAAAGAAUGCUUCAAUA